UCAGGGGAGCUGCUAGAAUUCAGCACCUCUAAAACUGUAUCAUGCUAUCAUGGAAAUGCAGUGGACAUUUUCCAAAGAUGCAGAAAGAGGAAGGCAAGGGAUAUUGCGAUGAUUCUGCCUGUGGGAAGGGGCAGUAAUUCCCACGAGUGCUUUAUAGGAUGUUUCCAUUCUAGUCAGCCCCUUUGCAUGGCCAGUAUGUUUGGGAAAAACAUAGCUUCUUACCACUCAAUUGGUGAAUCAGAGAAUCAUAGAAAUGUAGGGCUAGAAGGGACUCCAAAUGUUCAUCCUCCUGCAUGAAGAAUGCAUUAUCACCAUCCUCUUUACAGCAUCACCUCACAUGUUUGAAGAUUGUAAUCAUGUUCUCCACUCUCCCCAGGGCAUUUCAAGGGGAUGGAUGGAAGGUUCCACGUGGCUUGUGAUGCCAUAGCCUCUCUCUGGCAGACCAGAGUCCCUCUUCCCCCACCAAAGUCUGUCCUGGCAAAGAGCUCCACCAAUUCCUGGGAGGUGCUGAAGCCCUUUCCCCACCCAUGGUGGUAGACUCGGGGCUUGAGACACCUGUCGUCGCUCACCCAGAGUUCCCUGCCAAAGAGGAGGAAGAACAGCAGCUGCAGGAGGAGGAGGACACAGACAGCACAGUCACUUUAACCCUGGAGUUGGUACGCCCAGGCCCUGGAGAUCUCCCAGGCAUCCUCUGAUGGUGGGGAGCGAUCAUCAGGGGCGGGAGAGAAAGAUUUUUCAGAAAGCCAAAUAAAGCCACUGGACCCAGAAUACUUUGCAAAGGAAGAAACAAAUGUAAAGACUUCUGUGGCUCAGACUCAUCACACCUGUAUUUACUUCUCUGUGGUUCACUCUAGCAGUGCCCAAUCAGAUCUCAGGUCUUCAACUGUCACAUGUCUCUCGUCAGAGAUCCUUGUCACCCUCCCAGCUGACCAGGGCUUUUAAAGGCUGCACAGCUGCCUUCCUUACACCAUGAUAUGCCCAGAAAACUAGUUCAUUUAAAGGUCAGGGCCUGAGCUUUGCUUUGCACAUUGAGGGCUAUGAACAGAGUAUUGCCAACAGUUUCAAGUGUCCAUGCCUUUUUCUAUGCAAUCAUGUUUAUCCUUAAGAGGAAAGCAUUACCUAGAAUCCAUAAGAAAAACAAUAAAUAACAAAAACAAUAAAUAGAUUUAAACAAACACUAAAGAAAGCAGGUGUUACUCAUCAUUCUUAUGUUGCCCCACACACCAAAGACUUUCCAUCUCUUCACCAAGAUUGGAGCACCCUUUGGAUGGAAGAUUGUCCAUUUGCUGGAUUAAAAAGGAGUGCUGAGUCAGUUCAACCUUGGCCUUUUAAUAUCAAAAGCCAUUUCUUUUCCUGAAUUUCUGGAAAAGUCACUCUGAACCACUAUAUGAAAACCUGUCCAGAGACUGGCACCUCUCUGGAGUUGUUUAGACACAGUGGUUCACUUUAAUAACCCCAAAGGUAUCUUGCUGGAGACAUAAGGGCUUUGGCACACUCAUCCCAAAAAGGGAGCACUGGAGCGGUCCUCUAAGUACAUCUAGUUGCAUGGGAAGCAACCAAUCAGAGCCUAAGCGAGUCAUAUAAAAAGGAAUGGCAGAUCGGGGAGGAAGAGAGUUUGUAAGUAUUGUUGGGCUGAGGUGCUGUGUCUACACUGCACCAUUUUUCUGAAAUCACUGUAGUUAUUAUGGAAAAAAAUACUAGCAUCCACACUGUAAUUGUGUUAUUUCAAAAGAAAGUCAAAAUAAUGAACAGCUUCACCUGACACUGGUAAACCUCAUUCCUGACAAGGAAUAAGGCCUCUUCUGAAAAAGCUUUUUCAGAAGAGGAGGUAUGGGGAUACAGAAGACAGACUUUUAAUGAAAAAAGAGGUGUCCAGGAAAUCCCACUGGUGCCCUGCUGGCCACUCUGUCCACACUCAUCAGGACUCUAUUGCUACGUCUACACUGGCCCCU